rnacentral:hammerhead_ribozyme from 1 species
AUACAGCUGACGAGUCCCAAAUGGGACGAAACACGCGUCCUGGAU